CCUAAGGUGUAGACAUUCUAUGCACUGUGGUUUAGCUAGCUAGCUGCUAUUGUUGCAUCAUGGACAACACUUAGAGCUAACAUUAGCUUUUUUUUUUUUUUAGAUAGGAUGUAAUGUGGUAUGUGCUGGAGAGUAUUUAGAGUGGACGUGUAGAAAUUGAAGACACAAGUACUGUGCUUAAUUUCAUGGAAAUGGCAUUGCAAGUAAUGUGUUUUGUUUUUGUGCACUAUUAAACUACUUUGUCAUGCUUUGUGCACUGACAUUCUUGCAAAACCAUUCAUACCCAUGCUAAAUUAUGGAAAUGUAAAAGUUGAAUUGUAUUGAAAAGGACCAUGUAUGUGCUAUAUUUGAGCACUGAAACCCCUUUUUUUUACCUUUUAGAGAGGGAGGCAAUACUUGAAAGCUACAUCAAGGACACCGGAGGAAGGACCAGAAGACCUGAGACCAAGACGACCCAAGCCCAACCCGUAGUAUGCUUCACUGACAAAUUUUGAUGUUGAUGCUUCAUCAUCACAUAGACCAAAGGUUUCAGAGAAGGCUGGUAGAGCUCUCUAUUAGUGUGAGCUGUGGGAGAUAACCAAGAACUGACAACCACCUAAAGAAGAGGUGGCGAUAAAGGCUCUCCAAGAGGAGGUUGUGAGUCUGAAGGCUUUUAUUCAACAAGGAGGCACUUAGAGGGAAUGCCUGGACCCUGAGAGGACUAAGACGAUAAUUGAGGCCACCCUGAAGCAGUUCCCAGGCCAGACACUCACUCCAGAUUGCUGGGCCAGGCAAUAAAUGCCAAAGUGACAGAACUGAGGUUCCAUAACAAAAACAAAGAUUUUCAAUAAAAUAGAAUAAAAGAUAACAGAAGUGUUGUGUGUUUCUUCCUCUUUAUACUGAUACUAUGGUUGAUUUUAAGUAAAC